rnacentral:rRNA from 1 species
AGUGAACGCUGGCGGUAGGCCUAACACAUGCAAGUCGAACGGCAGCACAGUAAGAGCUUGCUCUUACGGGUGGCGAGUGGCGGACGGGUGAGGAAUACAUCGGAAUCUACUUUUUCGUGGGGGAUAACGUAGGGAGACUUACGCUAAUACCGCAUACGACCUACGGGUGAAAGCAGGGGAUCUUCGGACCUUGCGCGAUUGAAUGAGCCGCUGUCGGAUUAGCUAGUUGGCGGGGUAAAGGCCCACCAAGUGGCCGAUCCGUAGCUGGUCUGGGAGGAUGAUCAGCCACACUGGAGCUGAGACACGGUCCAGACUCCUACGGGAGGCAGCAGUGGGGAAUAUUGGACAAAGGGCGCAAGCCUGAUCCAGCCAUACCGCGUGGGUGAAGAAGGCCUUCGGGUUGUAAAGCCCUUUUGUUGGGAAAGAAAAGCAGCAGGUUAAUACCCCGCUGUUCUGACGGUACCCAAAGAAUAAGCACCGGCUAACUUCGUG